rnacentral:rRNA from 1 species
UACGUAGGGCGCAAGCGUUGUCCGGAAUCAUUGGGCGUAAAGAGCUCGUAGGCGGCCUGUUGCGUCCGCUGUGAAAUCCCGGGGCUUAACCCCGGGCGUGCAGUGGAUACGGGCUGGCUGGAGGCAGGCAGGGGAGAACGGAAUUCCCGGUGUAGCGGUGAAAUGCGCAGAUAUCGGGGAGGAACACCGGUGGCGAAGGCGGUUCUCUGGGCCUGUACUGACGCUGAGGAGCGAAAGCGUGGGGAGCGAACAGG